GUUGAGAGGAAUGUUGUCUGGCUCGAGGUAUCAUUUAUUUUUCUUUUCUUUUCUUCGGGUUUUUGUUGGAUUGAAUUUAACCCCCAAAUGAAAGAAAGAAAGAAGAAGAAAUAUAAGGUGAUGAGUGAUUCUCGGACCAGGCUUCAUUCCCCUCAAC
rnacentral:pre_miRNA from 1 species